GGGUCGGUGGCAGAGCGGUCAAAUGCACCAGACUGUAAAUCUGGCGGGCUAUGCCCUUCGUAGGUUCGAUUCCUACCCGGCCCA
rnacentral:tRNA from 1 species